UACAGAGGGUGCGAGCGUUGUCCGGAAUCACUGGGCGUAAAGGGCGCGUAGGUGGUGGCUUAAGCGUGCGGUGAAAGCCCGGGGCUCAACCCCGGAAUUGCCUUUAAGACUGCAUCGCUUGAAUCCGGGAGAGGUGAGUGGAAUUCCGAGUGUAGAGGUGAAAAUUCGUAGAUAUUCGGAAGAACACCAGUGGGCGAAAGGCGGCCUCAGCUGGGAACCGGGCGACUUCGACGGCCUAUGGGUGCC
rnacentral:rRNA from 1 species